AUGCGUUGGUGGCUCUACUUCCCUCUCAGGGCGGUUGAAUGACGCACAUAAGUGAGAUCCAAAGUGCCAAUGACCCGCUCUGAAAAGCGGGUUUUUUUAU
rfam:Xenorhabdus innexi strain HGB1681 (deposited as PTA-6826 in the American Type Culture Collection) genome assembly, scaffold: XIS1_scaffold1